rnacentral:rRNA from 1 species
AAGGAUCAUUAUUGAGAGAGGGGCUCACGCUCCCGGGGUUUCGGCCCUAAACUCUUCACCCAUUGUUUACCUUACCUUUGUUGCUUUGGCGGACCUCGGGGUCCCCCCGCGCUGGCUUUCGGGCCGGUGAGCGUCCGUCAGAGGCCCAUUCAAACUCAUUUGUAUCAGUGAUGUCCGAGUACAAACAUAAUAAUAAAAACUUUCAACAACGGAUCUCUUGGUUCCAGCAUCGAUGAAGAACGCAGCGAAAUGCGAUAAGUAAUGUGAAUUGCAGAAUUCAGUGAAUCAUCGAAUCUUUGAACGCAUAUUGCGCCCCCUGGUAUUCCGGGGGGCAUGCCUGUCCGAGCGUCAUUGCACCCCUCAAGCGUAGCUUGGUAUUGGGCCCUCGCCCCCGCGGCGUGCCCGAAAAACAGUGGCGGUCCGGAGCGACUUUAAGCGUAGUAAAUUUCUCCCGCUCUAAAGCUCGCCCCGUGGCUGGCCAGUCAACCCCAUUAUUUCAAUAAUGACCUCGGAU